AGUCGAGCGAAUGGAUUAAGAGCUUGCUCUUAUGAAGUUAGCGGCGGACGGGUGAGUAACACGUGGGUAACCUGCCCAUAAGACUGGGAUAACUCCGGGAAACCGGGGCUAAUACCGGAUAACAUUUUGAACCGCAUGGUUCGAAAUUGAAAGGCGGCUUCGGCUGUCACUUAUGGAUGGACCCGCGUCGCAUUAGCUAGUUGGUGAGGUAACGGCUCACCAAGGCAACGAUGCGUAGCCGACCUGAGAGGGUGAUCGGCCACACUGGGACUGAGACACGGCCCAGACUCCUACGGGAGGCAGCAGUAGGGAAUCUUCCGCAAUGGACGAAAGUCUGACGGAGCAACGCCGCGUGAGUGAUGAAGGCUUUCGGGUCGUAAAACUCUGUUGUUAGGGAAGAACAAGUGCUAGUUGAAUAAGCUGGCACCUUGACGGUACCUAACCAGAAAGCCACGGCUAACUACGUGCCAGCAGCCGCGGUAAUACGUAGGUGGCAAGCGUUAUCCGGAAUUAUUGGGCGUAAAGCGCGCGCAGGUGGUUUCUUAAGUCUGAUGUGAAAGCCCACGGCUCAACCGUGGAGGGUCAUUGGAAACUGGGAGACUUGAGUGCAGAAGAGGAAAGUGGAAUUCCAUGUGUAGCGGUGAAAUGCGUAGAGAUAUGGAGGAACACCAGUGGCGAAGGCGACUUUCUGGUCUGUAACUGACACUGAGGCGCGAAAGCGUG
rnacentral:rRNA from 1 species